UAGAAGUUCACUUCUGAGGAGGCUCAAACU
rnacentral:piRNA from 1 species